rnacentral:rRNA from 1 species
UACAGAGGGUGCAAGCGUUAAUCGGAAUUACUGGGCGUAAAGCGUGCGCAGGCGGUUUUGUAAGUCAGAUGUGAAAGCCCCGGGCUUAACCUGGGAAUUGCGUUUGAUACUGCUUGACUAGAGUUUGGUAGAGGGAAGUGGAAUUCCACGUGUAGCGGUGAAAUGCGUAGAUAUGUGGAGGAACACCAGUGGCGAAGGCGGCUUCCUGGACUAAAACUGACACUGAGGCACGAAAGCGUGGGGAGCAAACAGG